rnacentral:rRNA from 1 species
AUUGAACGCUGGCGGCAUGCUUUACACAUGCAAGUCGAACGGUAACAGGCCGCAAGGUGCUGACGAGUGGCGAACGGGUGAGUAAUGCAUCGGAACGUGCCCAGUCGUGGGGAUAACGCAGCGAAAGCUGCGCUAAUACCGCAUACGAUCUAUGGAUGAAAGCGGGGGACCGUAAGGCCUCGCGCGAUUGGAGCGGCCGAUGUCAGAUUAGGUAGUUGGUGGGGUAAAGGCUCACCAAGCCAACGAUCUGUAGCUGGUCUGAGAGGACGACCAGCCACACUGGGACUGAGACACGGCCCAGACUCCUACGGGAGGCAGCAGUGGGGAAUUUUGGACAAUGGGCGCAAGCCUGAUCCAGCAAUGCCGCGUGCAGGAAGAGGGCCUUCGGGUUGUAAACUGCUCUUGUACGGAACGAAACGGUCCUGGUUAAUACCUGGGGCUAAUGACGGUACCGUAAGAAUAAGCACCGGCUAACUACGUGCCAGCAGCCGCCGUAA